rnacentral:rRNA from 1 species
GAUGAACGCUGGCGGCGUGCCUAAUACAUGCAAGUCGAGCGAACGGACGAGAAGCUUGCUUCUCUGAUGUUAGCGGCGGACGGGUGAGUAACACGUGGAUAACCUACCUAUAAGACUGGGAUAACUUCGGGAAACCGGAGCUAAUACCGGAUGAUAUUUUGAACCGCAUGGUUCAAAAGUGAAAGACGGUCUUGCUGUCACUUAUAGAUGGAUCCGCGCUGCAUUAGCUAGUUGGUAAGGUAACGGCUUACCAAGGCAACGAUGCAUAGCCGACCUGAGAGGGUGAUCGGCCACACCGGAACGGAGCCACGGUCCAGACUCCUACGGGAGGCAGCAGUAGGGAAUCUUCCGCAAUGGGCGCAAGCCUGACGGAGCAACGCCGCGUGAGUGAUGGAGGUCUUCGGAUCGUAAAACUCUGUUAUUAGGGAAGAACAUAUGUGUAAGUAACUGUGCACAUCUUGACGGUACCUAAUCAGAAAGCCACGGCUAACUACGUG